GACGAACGCUGGCGGCGUGCUUAACACAUGCAAGUCGAACGGAAAGGCCCUGCUUUUGUGGGGUGCUCGAGUGGCGAACGGGUGAGUAACACGUGUGUAACCUGCCCUUGACUUUGGGAUAACUUCAGGAAACUGGGGCUAAUACCGGAUAGGAGCUCCUGCUGCAUGGUGGGGGUUGGAAAGUUUCGGCGGUAGGGGAUGGACUCGCGGCUUAUCAGCUUGUUGGUGGGGUAGUGGCUUACCAAGGCUUUGACGGGUAGCCGGCCUGUGAGGGUGACCGGCGAAAUGGGGACUGAGAUACGGCCCAGAAUCCUACGGGAGGCAGCAGUGGGGAAUAUUGCACAAUGGGCGGAAGCCUGAUGCAGCAACGCCGCGUGCGGGAUGACGGCCUUCGGGUUGUAAACAGCUUUAGCCUGUGACGAAGCGUGAGUGACGGUAAUGGGUAAAGAAGCACCGGCUAACUACGUG
rnacentral:rRNA from 1 species